rnacentral:rRNA from 1 species
UACAGAGACUGCAAGCGUUAUUCGGAUUCACUGGGCGUAAAGGGUGCGCAGGCGGCCAAGUGUGUUAGGCGUGAAAGCCCGGGGCUUAACCCCGGAAUUGCACCUAAAACUACAUGGCUAGAGCAUUGGAGAGGGUAGCAGAAUUCAUGGCGUAGCAGUGAAAUGCGUAGAUAUCAUGAGGAAUACCAGAGGCGAAGGCGGCUACCUGGACAAUUGCUGACGCUCAGGCACGAAAGCGUGGGGAGCAAAAGGG